rnacentral:rRNA from 1 species
UACGAGGGGUGCAAAUGUUGUUCGGAAUCACUGGGCGUAAAGGGAGCGUAGGCGGGCUUCUAAGUUAGGUGUUUAAUCCCGGGGCCCAACCCCGGUCGUGCACUUAAAACUGGAAGUCUUGAAUAGUGGAGAGGUCAGUGGAAUUGGGGGUGUAGCGGUGGAAUGCGUAGAGAUCCCCAAGAACACCAGUUGCGAAGGCGGCUGACUGGACACAUAUUGACGCUGAGGCUCGAAAGCAUGGGGAGCAAACAGG